rnacentral:rRNA from 1 species
UACGUAGGGUGCGAGCGUUGUCCGGAAUUAUUGGGCGUAAAGAGCUCGUAGGCGGUUUGUCGCGUCUGCUGUGAAAACUGGGGGCUCAACCCCCAGCCUGCAGUGGGUACGGGCAGACUAGAGUGUGGUAGGGGAGACUGGAAUUCCUGGUGUAGCGGUGAAAUGCGCAGAUAUCAGGAGGAACACCGAUGGCGAAGGCAGGUCUCUGGGCCACUACUGACGCUGAGAAGCGAAAGCAUGGGGAGCGAACAGG